GGCAGGCUUAACACAUGCAAGUCGAACGCCCCGCAGGGAGUGGCAGACGGGUGAGUAACGCGUGGGAACAUACCCUUUUCUACGGAAUAGCUCUGGGAAACUGGAAUUAAUACCGUAUACGCCCUACGGGGGAAAGAUUUAUCGGGGAAGGAUUGGCCCGCGUUGGAUUAGCUAGUUGGUGGGGUAAAGGCCUACCAAGGCGACGAUCCAUAGCUGGUCUGAGAGGAUGAUCAGCCACAUUGGGACUGAGACACGGCCCAAACUCCUACGGGAGGCAGCAGUGGGGAAUAUUGGACAAUGGGCGCAAGCCUGAUCCANCCAUGCCGCGUGAGUGAUGAAGGCCUUAGGGUUGUAAAGCUCUUUCACCGAUGAAGAUA
rnacentral:rRNA from 1 species